rnacentral:rRNA from 1 species
AAUAGCGUAUAUUAAUGUUGUUGCGGUUAAAACGUUCGUAGUUGAACUUGUGCUUCAUACGGGUAGUACAACUAUAAUUUUAGAUUGUGCUAUACCUUAUGUAUGUAAGCGUAUUACCGGUGGGGUUCUUAUAUGCAAAUGUAAUACUUGUAUUCUUUUGUAUAUUCCUCCUAUUUAAACCUGCCUCAAUGCUCUUCAUCGGGUGUUGUUGCGGGCCGGUACAAUUACUUUGAACAAAUUAGAGUGCUUAAAGCAGGCUCCAAAUGCCUGAAUAUUUUGUGCAUGGAAUAAUGGAAUAAGACCUCUGUUCUACUUUCAUUGGUUUUUAGAUCAAGAGGUAAUGAUUAAUAGAAGCAGUUUGGGGGCAUUAGUAUUACGACGCGAGAGGUGAAAUUCUUGGACCGUCGUAAGACUAACUUAAGCGAAAGCAUUUGCCAAAGAUGUUUUCAUUAAUCAAGAACGAAAGUUAGAGGUUCGAAGGCGAUCAGAUACCGCCCUAGUUCUAACCAUAAACGAUGCCAGCUAGCAAUUGGGUGUAGCUAAUUUUAUGGCUCUCUCAGUCGCUUCCCGGGAAACCAAAGCUUUUGGGCUCCGGGGGAAGUAUGGUUGCAAAGCU